rnacentral:tRNA from 1 species
GGAUCGAUGCCCGAGUGGUUAAAGGGGAUGGGUUGUAAACCCAUUAGUGUAAUGCUUACACUGGUUCAAAUCCAGUUCGGUCCA